UUCCGUUAGUGUUUUAUGACAAAAUCUUUGCAGCCUAGACACAACAAGUGUGAAAAUCUUAGUCACUAGGCAAGAAUGGAAAGAGCUUCUUUACCUGCUUGAGAGGGGAGUCAAACAGAGUCUGAGGAAGCAUAGCUAUAGCAACGUAGUGUUUGAGAAGAGUGUGCCUGGAGUAAUAGGCCUGAGAGCUACCCGCGCAACUCACAGAGUUAACUUCUAGAAUAACCGGUACAUUUUUUUUAGUAUAACUCUAAUUGUGGGUGGUUCGUUACUUUUGAAGUGGUAAGCAAGUGAUCCUCACAAUUCGUUUUACCUGACUCUACUCUAAUUGUAAGAUAACUAGAAAUAGGAGAUGAGAAAGUCGAGUAGCAGCACUGAUGGGAACAUUUUUUGAAACUAGAAUGGUUGAUAGUCAAAUAGGAGACUCGCGUUGUAGGUAAGGCUUUUCAAAAGCCUCGACUUGGCUAACGCCCUUUGGUUUUGAGGAUCAAUUUGCCCGUGCUUGCUGGUGUCAGGGUUGCAGAUAAGUUGUUUCGG
rnacentral:lncRNA from 1 species